UUUUAUAUAGUUUAAAUACAAAACAUUGCAUUUUCACUGUAAAGAUAGAAAUAUUCUUAUAAUAC
rnacentral:tRNA from 1 species